GUGUUCGCUUUGGCAGCACGUAUACUAAAAUUGGAACGAUACAGAGAAGAUUAGCAUGGCCCCUGCACAAGGAUGAAACACAAAUUCGUGAAGCAUCCCAUAUUUUU
ensembl:snRNA U6 U6 spliceosomal RNA